GUCCAUUCUCAGGGUUUAUCAGGGUCCAUUCUCAGGGUUUAUCAGGGUCCAUUCUCAGGGUUCAUCAGGGUCCAUUCUCUGGGUUUAUCAGGGUCCAUUCUCUGGGUUUAUCAGGGUCCAUAUUCUGGUUACAGUUACAACAUUCAAAGCUUUACUUUCUGGCUCAGAUCUCCUUUCAGAAAGUCACAUUGGAGUGAAUCUUCUUUGAUUAUGUCUUGGGAGACUCAGACUAGUACCUUCAACAGCUCAGCUCCCGGUUUAGGAGUGUUUACAUAGGCUACAUCUUCUUUAAAACGUAACACUAGGGCACCUGUAUUGAGUUAGUUUGAAUUGUUCACAGGUCCACAAUCAUCAUUUCUUUCUAUUGAAACAGAAGAAAAAGUUUGAUUUGGACCACCUCUGCCUGCAGCUUUAAGAACAGCUUUUACCUGUUGGGGGAGAGGGGUUAAACCUUCUCAGUGCCACGUAGAGGUGUGAGCAGCAGUGAGGAUGCAGAUAAAAAGAGCCGAGCAAACAGAGAGAGCAGCAGACACACCUGGACAUCAGCUGCAGUAUCCUCAGAGAGUCUCCUGAUCAGAAACCUUCAGCUGCUUCAUCCAAACCUGGACAGCUUUCUGUGAGCCAACAAAACUCUCCCAACAUGAUCGGACUCCUACUCCUGAUGUCCCUUCUUAAAGCGAGCCAAGCUAACAUGCCUCUGAAGAAGGACUUCAGAGCCACCUGCUCCUUCACCGGACCCUCCGUCAUAGACAGCAGUGGAAAAUUAGCCUCCAUCCCAGACCGCUGUGAUUAC